rnacentral:rRNA from 1 species
UGGGGAAUAUUGGACAAUGGGCGCAAGCCUGAUCCAGCCAUGCCGCGUGAGUGAUGAAGGUCUUCGGAUCGUAAAACUCUGUUAUUAGGGAAGAACAAAUGUGUAAGUAACUAUGCACGUCUUGACGGUACCUAAUCAGAAAGCCACGGCUAACUACGUGCCAGCAGCCGCGGUAAUACGUAGGUGGCAAGCGUUAUCCGGAAUUAUUGGGCGUAAAGCGCGCGUAGGCGGUUUUUUAAGUCUGAUGUGAAAGCCCACGGCUCAACCGUGGAGGGUCAUUGGAAACUGGAAAACUUGAGUGCAGAAGAGGAAAGUGGAAUUCCAUGUGUAGCGGUGAAAUGCGCAGAGAUAUGGAGGAACACCAGUGGCGAAGGCGACUUUCUGGUCUGUAACUGACGCUGAUGUGCGAAGGCGUGGGGAUCAAACAGG